AGCAAGGAUGACUGGGGGAGUUAGGACUGCAUAGGCUCCGGCGCUGGGUGAGAGCGUGUGUCUGCGUGUGAGUGCAUGUGGAUGUGCAUGUGUCUGGGUGGAUUCCCACUGUAACUGUGCCCCACGUGUGACUGUGCUGGCCGCGACAGCCAUCCCGUCCACAGCAGUGACUUUCUCACCAUACAGAUGGUGUGAGCAGUCGGGGGAAAAGUUUUUAACAGCUUGUCUGGGCUUCAGCUAAAGUCAAUCCACUCAGCACACACUGAGUCAGUCCAGGAGGAGAGCGGCAGCGGCAGCAGCAGCAGCAGCAGCAGCAGCAGCGGAGCUGGAGUACAACUUAAGCUUGUCUCAACCGGGAUUUCUGCUGUUGCUGAUUGAUUGCCUGUCACUGGAUUGGAUAAAACAGUUGUGCAUCACGACACGUCACAGUUGAGGGAUUCAACAAGGCUGUUCAUUUGAACGAUCAGAGUUGCUUGCUGUAAUGGGCGACCAGUGUGUUUCCGACAGCAGUCCCCAGCGCAGUGGAGGUCAGGCCAGCACGGAAGUUAAGAGGCAGGCACGGCCGAAAGUCAUCAGGUGUGGGUGGCUCAGGAAGCAAGGAGGUUUUGUCAAGACUUGGCACAGCCGCUGGUUUGUGCUGCGAGGGGACCAGCUCUACUAUUACAAAGACGAGGAGGAGACCAAAGCCCUGGGAGCCAUUUUCUUACCUGGAAACAAAGUUACAGAGCAUCCAACCAGCGGCGAUGACGGGGGAAAAUUUCUUUUUGAAGUCAUUCCAGG